rnacentral:rRNA from 1 species
GAUGAACGCUGGCGGCGCGCCUAACACAUGCAAGUCGAACGGGGUAGCAAUACCUAGUGGCGGACGGGUGAGUAACGCGUGAGAAUCUAGCUUGAGGACGGGGACAACAGUUGGAAACGACUGCUAAUACCCGAUGUGCCGAAAGGUGAAAGUUAUAUCGCCUCAAGAAGAGCUCGCGUCUGAUUAGCUAGCUGGUGUGGUAAAAGCGCACCAAGGCGACGAUCAGUAGCUGGUCUGAGAGGAUGAGCAGCCACACUGGGACUGAGACACGGCCCAGACUCCUACGGGAGGCAGCAGUGGGGAAUUUUCCGCAAUGGGCGAAAGCCUGACGGAGCAACGCCGCGUGAGGGAGGAAGGCUCUUGGGUUGUAAACCUCUUUUACUCGGGAAGAAGAAAGUGACGGUACCGAGGGAAUCAGCAUCGGCUAACUCCGUGCCAGCCGC